CCGCGGUAAUACUCCUACGGGCCUACGGGAGGCAGCAGUGGGGAAUAUUGGACAAUGGGCGAAAGCCUGAUCCAGCCAUGCCGCGUGUGUGAAGAAGGUCUUCGGAUUGUAAAGCACUUUAAGUUGGGAGGAAGGGUAGUAACUUAACACGUUGCUAUUUUGACGUUACCGACAGAAUAAGCACCGGCUAACUUCGUG
rnacentral:rRNA from 1 species